rnacentral:rRNA from 1 species
CUACGUGCCAGCAGCCGCGGUAAUACGUAGGGCGCGAGCGUUGUCCGGAAUUAUUGGGCGUAAAGAGCUUGUAGGCGGUUUGUCGCGUCUGCUGUGAAAGGCCGGGGCUUAACCCCGUGUAUUGCAGUGGGUACGGGCAGACUAGAGUGCAGUAGGGGAGACUGGAAUUCCUGGUGUAGCGGUGGAAUGCGCAGAUAUCAGGAGGAACACCGAUGGCGAAGGCAGGUCUCUGGGCUGUAACUGACGCUGAGAAGCGAAAGCAUGGGGAGCGAACAGGAUUAGAUACCCUGGUAGUCCAUGCCGUAAACGAUGGGUACUAGGUGUAGGAGGUAUCGACCCCUUCUGUGCCGGAGUUAACGCAAUAAGUACCCCGCCUGGGGAGUACGACCGCAAGGUUGAAACUCAAAGGAAUUGACGGGGGCCCGCACAAGCGGUGGAGUAUGUGGUUUAAUUCGACGCAACGCGAAGAACCUUACCAGGUCUUGACAUCCAGA